rnacentral:lncRNA from 1 species
UUUCAUCCUAGAAAGUACAAUACAAAUAUUUUAAAUAAAAUGCCAGUUUAUAAAUGUUUGGAGAUACAACCACAAUAAUGAUUUGAGGGGAAAAAUCAGAGCUUUAAAUAGGGGUUUAAAUUUUAAUUCAGUUCAACAAAUAUGUGGUAUAAACCAUAUUCUGCCCAAAGCAUAAAGGAGAACCAAGGUUAGAUAAGAAAAGCAGGCCUUGCACAAAGGGCCCUCAAUCAACAGGCCCUAGAAAUUCUCUUCAAACUCCCAGAUUUCCCAGGACCUUAUCAUCAUAAUUUUUACGUUUAUCCAUGUGACCAUUUUUUCAUGAUGCCCUAAAAUCCAUGUAUCCAUAUGACAAUCCUCAAAUCUUGUCAAAUCGUUCGUUUAGUCUUUACUAACCCUCCUCUAGCGACACAGUUGCAGAAUUCUCUCUUUGUCUCAAAUUGCAUGAAGCUGCUCAUCAAUUCAAAGUACAGUUAAAUUUAGUCAAUCGGUUUUAUUCUUGUCUCCCCAUCCCAUUCCCACUUACCCACCUACUUACAUAAUUAACUGGUCACUUGAGCAGGCUUAGAAAUUUAGAAGAUUUACCUUGGCAGAAAGGACAAUAUCCAGAAAAUCCUGGUACUUCCUCUUCGGAGUGUUAUCCUGCUUUACCCCAGCCUGGAGGGAUUUCUUUCUUUCCUGGAUUAUUGUAUCUGGGUAGAAAAAUAGUUUCCAAUUACCAAAGUGAUGGCAAAGUCAAAUAAAUUAUAAAGCAAGCCAUGGUUAGUGAAUAGCUUCAAAUCUUGCCUGAUUUCCAGACGUUUAAAUAGAUCUAAUUUUCACAGAUGGUUUAUUUUCUCAUCAAAGGGACUUUUGAUUAAAGCUCCAAAGAUAAACAACACAAAUAAAAAACAUAGUUUCCAUCAGUAUGUGGGCAAUAAAAUUAAGAUGAUUUCAAGUUUAGAUGCAAGUGACCAAUUAUUCUUUUCUUCCUCAGUCUAAUAUUUUAUCUUCACGGAAAAGUUAUUAAAUAAAAUGGAAUGAAAUAGAAGACAGGCAAAGAAAUGCCAAUAUAUUUAUAAUUGAAGGAGCUGAGAGAAAAAAAACAAAACAAAAAUAUGGAACAGAGGUUUAUCCCUCUAGACAGACACAGUACAAUCAUGGCAGCGUAUGGACGUGGGCAACCCAAACCCAACAAAUACCUGUGUACUGAUUCAACACUCGGCUUAACUUCUGGAAGCGGUAGCCCUGAGGGCUGAGUUUGAAAAUUAUGUCACUGUGAUACAACAAACUGUACAAGCGGUGAAAUAUGAUUUUGCUGAGUUCAAAUAUGGCUUUUGCAUAAGGAUCAUGGGUGCUAGAAGAGAAAGUUGGGAUAAUGUGUUAAUAAACAACUUAGAAAAUGUGAAGAAAUAUCUUUUUUGCUCUCCCACCACUGACCUGUUUGUCUGGCAGUUGGUCUCCUUGCUGAAAGCGCAUUUCAUGAUUAUAUCCAGAGACAUCGAGUUGAUGUGCUCAUAGACCUCCACGCUUGUGUCCUGAGUGCUGCAAAUCUUCUCCCACUUAUCCUGGCACAGGAGGUCAAGACCAACAUCAUCACCACCACCAUGACCAAAUUGCCUUCAUUUGAAGGCUCCUGCCUGGCCCUGUUUUUAUGAUCUAAUGGAGACAACCCUGACCCAGCAGGAACCAAAGAUCACAUGAGUAAAUAAGCCAUGUGCUUACACAGGGCACGAGGAAGGGAAAAAUACACCCAGCGGAGUGAGAAGGAGCAUGGAGAAAACUGCAUAUAUGGUAAAUGGCUGAGUUAAAGAUCUGCGGCUUUUCAAUUAUUACCAUAACUCUGCUUUCAAACAGACCAGAGUUCCAUUAAAGCAAUCAUUGACACAAGACCCAUAAUUACAAGGGGUUUACCCCAGGGCUUCCUCCAACUUCAAUUCCAAACUUGCUAGGUACCCUGCCACUGCUCUCAACCACCAUAGCCACAUUUAAAAUAAACUCAGAACAUUUUCAAAAACGUUUGGAUUCAAAAGUGAGAAACAGAGCAAGUGUGGAGAGGAGCUGCUGCAGGGAGCUGCCCCCAGCAAAGCCUGACCUGGCUUAACUUCCCCACAAAGAGACCUACUUAUACUGCUUGAAAUGCUUUGCCUGACAUUUUUAAACUGUCACAAGGUCCCUGGUUGAAAAUGUAUUUGUAUAAUAAGCAUACUUUGUGUAAAAAUUAAAAUAAAUUGAAAUUUUAAAAGUUCAGGUCGACCGAUAGGUCUUAAGCACCUAGCCCCUAGCUUAAGACCUAUCGGUCAACCUGAACUUUUAAAAUUUCAGAGACUUGGCAACCACAAAGGCAAAGAGAAUUUUAAAAACUUUUUCCUAAGUGCAAAUUGUUUAGUCAAAGAGCCUUUUUCUCAAUUACGUAAGUUUUACUAAGAACAAAUGGUGAAUGUAGAAGAAAUGAGAACAGGAGGGAGGCUUCCAAGCUUGAAAAACUCUGGAAUGAUGCAGCAGAGGAAGGAAGUGUGAGAAAAAUCCCGGAGAAAUAUGUGGCUGAGAAAUGAGGAGGGGAGGAAGCGCUCCGAGAAAUAGAGAGAAAACUCUAAUGCAACUCCAGUGCAGUCACUGGAGGAUCUGAAACUGUGCUGCACCUGAACAGCACUAGAGUCACAAAAGGAUGCUCUUCUCUCUCACUAGCUUGCACUGCACAGUCUCUGGGUCUCUGCCUUGAGAACUCACACUGAUGUUUUUACCACAGUCCUGGCUGACUUCGGGUUCAAACUGCUUCUGUGAGUUUGGCUGAGAACCCAAUCAUUGAGCUGGUAACAGAGGUUUGUAUGGGAACAGGGAUGGGUUUGCACAUGAAGUGAGAGGAAAACUUUGUCUUUGUUUGUGGUGUUUGAGGUGUCUAUGAUGAAAGUGUAUUAGU